AUUUAAUAUCCCACCUUCCGGGUGUCAGAAUGUCAUGAAACUUUAAAUCUAGCCUCAUAAAAAUAAUCCUAACAUAUUCCCAGAUUUUCAAAAUUUUCUGACACUGUAUAUUUUUUGCUAAAAUAACAGUCUCGAUUCACACAGAAAAUUCAAAAUCUUCUAUUCUCGCUCCGAUUUCCGCACGUGAUUUAAAAUCCGGUAUGCUACAUAAGUAUUCAAAGAAAUAGAUAUAGCAAGCCCACUAAUGCUAGUACUAAUACUAUGCCUGCAAAAGGAUAGUCAGCAGAUAUAUAAACUCAAAUAUGAUACAUGCAUGCAUGAUAUAAAAAUCCACAUGGCUUUUAUCCAAUCAAGCAUCACGGGUGCUCCUGGUUUAUCCGGACUCAAAACCCAAAAUCCCUAUCAUUGGGGGAGGCUCCAAGCACUACUACCCGAGGGACCGUCUUCUGGGACCUCUCUUUCAGUGGUGUCAUUUCCGGAAAGCACCGCUCAAGGGGGAGCUACCACCCUAGAGCCAAGACUCAUGUGAGUAUGAUCCAAUUCUCGCUUUGGGAACGAUAGCCACAUAUGCCAUUUGCCUCGAUGCCACAAUGAACCAUUAGGUUCUUAACUUGUCAUUUACCCCAUUCUCUAGGAUGUAUUUGCCACAAUGCCACAAUAGGUUAGAUCAAGUCCAACAUCUCACCACUCAAAGCCAAUCUCGUCGCUAAUGUCAAUGUCACCUUUGUUCACUAUUAUCAUAAUCCAACUCUCACAUUCACACACAUAUAGGGUUCAACAUACAUAGUCUUUAUGAUUCGAUAUCAAUUCAUAUGUUCAAAUACGUUAGAAGCAUAUAACUGAGUUUUCAACCAACAAUCAUAUAUUCUCUACCCUAUAUGCAUGAAUGGAAUAUACAAAUAUGCUCAAUAUAAAGUGACUUAGACAUAGAAGGGAAUUCGAUGAUUCCGGAUAGCACCCCCCACCUAUUCGUGUUGCAAGGAUGCCGAAAUGCAAUUUCUUGAAAUUUAUUUAGCCCCUUACGCCGCAAAUUGCGACGAACUGUACCAUCUUAGCUUGUUUCCUCAAUAUCUCCGCGUACGCUCGUCGCAUCGCCGAACCGAGCGCACCAACGCGUUCGUUGACCUGCCAAUUAGGUAUAAAAGAGAUCAAUCCCAAGCUUCGACCUCAUAAUUACAAAACCCCAAUUUUGGGUCCCUUAACAAUAUCAUCUUCUCCAUUAUAGGUCCCUAGCAUGUAUACUAUGGAGAAAAACUCUCAUAGAAGCUCCUAGAUGCUACUACUAGAAGCAUAAGACCAAACCCUAGCUCAAAAGAUGGAAACUCACCUUAGAGUUCCAAAGCUUUCCUCCAAAAGCUCUUGCACAAGCUAGCCACCACCUAGGGAAGCUUCUACUCCAACUUUGCUCCUUCAAAUCCCUCCCUUGAUCCAAGAUCUAGAGAGAAUGAGAGAAAGAAAGAGGGUUUUAGAGAGAGAGAGAGGAAAGUUCUUGUGUGUGGGUGAGAGCCAAUGAACCCUAACAUAAGCCUUAACCAACAUAUACACCUCUCCCAAGUGACAUUUGCACACAAACCCCUCAACAUUGCAAUAUUUGAAGCAACCCAACCUGGGCAAUUUUCGCAUACGAGGACCGGUCUCCCCACCAGGGACCGGUCUCUCCACCAGGGACCGAUUCCCGAAAAGGGUAUUUCCAGGACUUAGCCGAUUUUUCUCUCUUUUCUCUGGCUGCGUGUGCGGGGACCGGUCUCUCCUUCAGGGACCGGUCCCCGAGAGUCCAAAAUGCUGGGACUUAACCAUUUUCCAGAAUUCACUCUCUCGGGUUCCUUUACCUUAUACAUUGGUUCUAAUGCCUAUAGAACCCAUUGUAAAGCAUUUUACUCGUCCGACUCCGCGUUCCGCUCAUUUCGACGAAACUCGGCACGGUUUACGGGGAUAUGAUACGUUAUAUUGGGGGUUUUGGGGUUUAAUGGUUUUGACCCUAAUUGAUCUCCUAAUUCUCUAACUGAAUGAUAGAGGAGAGCCCCAGACAACUCUAGGUUGGAAUUCGGUGAGUGUUCGGUGGUCGAUUGCGAGUUUGAGCCGAACCGGGUGACGUGUGCCGCGGGAGCCCGAUUGCAAGUGUCUACAAGCAAUCGAAAGUAUUGUGAGGUGAGUUGUGCUUCACCGAAGUGAUUAGGUCACUUCCAUGCCAAAGAAUGAAGUAUGAUUUUAGUAUUAUUGUUGAUGCAUGUAAUGGUAGUUUAAUUGCAAUUAUGAAUGCAUGAGCUAAGUUAUAUAUUAACUACCAUUGGACAAGGACAUAGGCAUGAGCAAACAUAUAGGAUGUGUGUAUAUGUAUGCCUAGAUGUGAAUGUUGAACUUGGGUCGUUAAACUCUAGGAAGAUUAGAUAACUUGACAAGUGUGGCAUGAAAACUGUGAAUCCUAGGUGUGGACAAGUAGGAUAACAAAUAGCAUGAGUGGCAUUGAAACCUAGUGUCAUUGAACAUAGGUGAAACAUUGAACUUAGAGUCAGGUGGACCUAGGUUGGAAGGGGGAUUGGACCUAGUGUUGUGGAACCUAGGUUGUGAACAUAGUGGUAUUGAACCUAGUGUUAUUAAACAUAGGUUGAGAAAGAAAGUCGUAGGAUGACCACUAGGAUAUGAAUGGCUUGAACCUAAAAAGGUUGACAAUAUAGGGUACAUGAUUAACCUUGAGACUUGAAAAGUGGAUUCCGGAAUCCCUAGGAUUGGUGGCUGCGAGUAUGUGUGGUUCUCCUCGCUCGACAGCGGUUUAUAUUUGCAGGUACGUGUGGUUCUCCUCACCUGCCAAGUGAAUCAUAACUGCAGGUAUGUGUGGUUCUCCUCGUCCGGCAGUGAUUCAAUAGGUAUAUGUGGUUCUCCUCGCCCGGAAUGUGACUGGUUGACACGGGUAUGUGUGGUUCUCCUCGUCCGGUGUGCGACUUGUGGUCAAGGGUUUGAUGGUAUUUCCUCACCCGAGCUUGGCGGAUGUUGAGUGUUUGGUGGCCUGUUUGGCCUAUGACCUUAGGUUGGUUGGGAACCCUCAAAAAGGAAAGUAUCUCAAUCGUGGAGUUGUGGAUGCGUUCCCGAUAGUGCGUAGUGCUCUACCCUAUAGAGCAUCGGUCUUCUUUAUUUUGAGAUUGGACGGGUUACUUCGACUGUGUGUCGAUCAACGUGAGCUCAAUAAGGUCAUGAUUUGGUAUAAGUACCUGUGGUUGGGGAUUGGUGAUCUAAGUGAUCAGUUUUAGAAAAUUCUGGGCACAUCGAGGAUUUAAAUGUAAUCCGAGUAGUACCAGCUCGAGAGUGAGUUGAGGUUGUACCGUGAAUGGUUCUUUUGCACCCGGCAUGGACGUUACGGAUUUAUCGUGAUGUCAGUUGUGUUGAUUGUUACUCCAUCAGUUUUGUGGACUUGUGGAAUUGUGAUUCCAAGUCCCUUUAGAUGGAUUUGUUGUGUUGCAUUGUUCUCUGAUGACGUUGAGUAUUCUCAAAGCGACGAAGAUCGUGGAGAUCUCUGGAGUAAUGUAGGUACCAUGAAUGUUGAGCUUAUUGCCCGGUUAAAGAGUACGGACUUGGUGCUGGGAGAAUAUUCUUUGACACUUAAUGUCGGAGGCUACGUUGUACUGGACCUUGGGGUGUGAUAAUCGACCUAGACCGGUAGUGGUGUUUGAGAUUCAAGUUUUCUCAGCUCGAUUAAGGAUUUUGGAAACAUGAGAUAUAUAUAUAUACAUACAUAUAUAUAUAUAUAUAUAUAUACACAUACAUACAUAUAUAUAUAUAUAUACACAUACAUACAUAUAUAUAUAUACACAUACAUACAUAUAUAUAUAUACACAUACAUAUAUAUAUAUAUAUAUAUAUAUAUAUAUAUACACAUACAUACAUAUAUAUAUAUAUAUANNNNNNNNNNNNNNNNNNNNNNNNNNNNNNNNNNNNNNNNNNNNNNNNNAUAUAUAUAUAUAUAUAUAUAUAUAUAUAUAUAUGUAUAUAUAUAUAUAUGUAUAUAUAUGUGGGACAAGUUUUUUGAAACUAAUGGCCUGAUUGACACCUACCUCGAUUUCAACCUUGACUACUUCGGGGGCAGAUUGUGUAGAGAUGUUUUCGGUCAUGAUUGAGUGUGAUUUAACCCGGUCGGGAGGACAUUGGGUUUAUCUCCUUAGUUAAAGGAUUAUGUUUGAAGAAUUUGGAGUUGAUAACACUACUCGUGAACAAGAUUGGACCUUUCUUUACCUUCUAAGAUAAAUUAAGGUGACGAUGAUUACCUUCGAUGGCAAACUGGCAGAGAGCUUGGCGAUGUUGAACUACAUUCAACCAGUUCUACUUGAAGAAACAGGGCGAUUGAACUCGAAUGGUGGGUACACCAAGAUAACAAUAUGGUUAAUGGUAUUGUUAGUGCAACAUGCUCUUUUGGAUUGGACAAUAGAAGCUAACCCUCCACAAAAUCCUCCACUACUUAGUUACUAGGGUCAUAAUUGUAACAUAUCACUUCCCCGUAAAAUGUGCCGAGUUCCGUCCAAAACGAGCGGAACACGGAGUCGGACAAGUUAGAACGAGCUACAAUGGGUUCUAAGAUCAUUAGGGCCAUUGUAUAGGGUAUAUGGACCUAUGAGAGCAAACCUGUGAAAAUCUGACUAAGUACCAGAAAUUGUGCUCUCGGGGUCCGGACCCUAGCUGUAAGGUCCGGACCCCGUACGCGUGAAAUGCCCUGCCCAGGCAAGCUAGCUGUGGUUUUGCUCUCGGGGUCCGGACCCUAGCUGCACGGUCCGGACUCCAUACGUGAAAUCUGCCCAAAGUGGGCUAUCUGGGUGUGGUAUUGCUCUCGGGGUCCGGACCUUAGUUUUAGGGUCCGAACCCCGCAUGCGAAAAAUGCCCAGAAUGGGCUGUUGUGAGAGGUGCAAAGUUGAGGGGUUUGUAUGCAAAUGUCACAUGAGAUGGGUGUAUGUAUGUGAGAGAGCUUGUGUUAGGGCUCAUUUCGCACCUUCACAACACAAAACAUCUCCCUCUCUCUCUCUAAAACCUUCUCUUCUCUCUUCUUUCUCUCUAGAGCUUGGAGCAAGGAGGCUUUGAGGAGGGAUCUUUGUAGAGAAGAAGGUAAAGUUGAAGGAGUUGCUUGCAAGAGUGCAAGAGAACAAGGAAAGCUUUGAGCCCUAGGCGAGUUUUUGAGGAUUUCUAGGAUUUUUAAGUUAGGGUUUUGUUGUUUGCUUCUAGUUGUAGCAUCUAGGAGCUCUUGUGGUAAUUUCCCCCAUGCUUCUCAUGUGUAAAGACUAGAAAUGAGGAAGGUGGUAUUGUACAAGGACCAAUACUUAGGGUUUUGUAAUUUUGAUGUUCAAUCAUGGGAUUGAUCUCAUUUUAACCUAAUUGGUAGGUCAACAAACGCGUUGGUGCGCUCGAUUCGGCGAUACGACGAGCGAGCGCGGAGAUAUUGGAAAAAGAAGCUAAAUUGGUACAGAUUGCCGCAACUCGCGGCGAAAGCAUCUAAAAUUUGUGGAAACAGGACCGCGGCAUCCUUGCAUACCUAAAGGUGGGGGGUGCUGUCCGGAAACACCGGAUCUCUUUCUAUGUCUAUGUCACUCCAUUUGAGCAUAUUGAUGUUAGCAUUCAUGCAUGUAGGGUAGCUUAUUAUGUGUUUAUGGUUGAAAUGCAUUUAGAUGCUUAAAGAAUAUGUGAAAUGAUAAAGAACCAUGUGAACUAUGUAUGAAGAACCCUAUGUGUAGGUGAAUGCGAGAACGGACUAUGACAAUAGUAAACAAAGGUGAUAUUGACAUUCAGUGACCAGAUUAAAACCGAAAAUAUGAUGACUAAACAAGGUUUAGCUAAUUGUGGCAUCAGGACCAUUGUGACUCAGAAUUGGUGGUAUAUAUAUGAUAUGGUAGAUCCUAUCAUUGGCAUUGAGAUAUUGUGGCAUGAGACAGGUUUGGCUAUACCUCCUCAAAUUGAGGACGGGAUCAUACUCACAUGUAUUGGUUCCGGCUUGAGUGAGGUAGCUCCUCCUCAAGCGGUGUACUCCGGAGUGUAGACACCACGGGUGAGAGUGCUCGGCGAAGAUCCCUCGGGCGACAGUACUAUGUGCCUCCCCGGUAGACGGGAUGGAUUCCUCGGGGGCAUUUUCAAAUGCUAAUCUCGAUAGAUGGGACAUAUGAGAUGUGAGUUGGGGUGAACAUGACGAACCCUGGAAAGAUUGGGUAAAAGCCGAGUAAAAAGAGGAAUGGACAUGCAUGCAUCAGAUUCAUGUAUUUGAUUAUCUAUCUAUCUGUUGAUAGUUGUUUUGCAGGCAUUGUAUUAGUAAUUGCAUUAGAUGGUUUGAUAUCUAUUUUUAUUGAAAUACAUAUGCCUGAAAUAGACCUAGUGGGCAAAUCGGCGCGGUCGGCAGCCGAACCCACUGGGAACUUCUUCUAGUUCUCAUUACCACUAACCCUGCUGAUCCGUGCGCGAGCGGGGCGGCGGAGGAUCGAGGCAAGGGUACCGCGCCGUAGAUAGCAGCCCUCGGUGUAUAGGCAUACCCUACAUUUUGUGUACUCAACUUUUGUAUGUUGAACUAUUGAUGUAAAAGAUGUAAAACCUUAUGUUUUGGGUUAAAGGCUAAUGGGGUGUAGAUGAGUGGAUAAAGUGAAUGUAAAUGUAAUGAUUUACUUGUGUUUGAUUCAAAGGAAAUCAAAUGACAUGUAUGUGGAUAAAUGUUUAGUUUAGUAUCGAUGCUUUCAUGUUGUUGUUGUUUGCCCUCGAGCAAACCUUGUAUAUCUUGCAAUCUCCUUGUUAGCUUGGUUGUGUUAUACAUGUUGUUGGAGCCUUAGGCGGAAAGGUGGGAGGUGCUGUCCGUUCGGCGUUUGUUAUGUGCUCGAAUUCUACCAAAUUGGCGGAGCUCGGGGCGUGACAGAUAGUGUGGUAUCAGAGUAAGUGAAAGCAAGAGUCUAAGAUGGAUUUAGGGACCUUAGGAUUGGAGACCUUAGGAACUUAGGACACGUAUAACGUGGACUCGAAAAUGCGGAAGCUAAUUGAUUGGGUUGUUGUUAGUACUUCUCUAAAAAGAGUUAGAGAAGGAUUCAAGUGCUUAUUGUUUUCUUCUUGAAGUGUUAUGUGGGCGGCCGACUACAUGACGCCGAGAGUUGAGAAUGAACACACUUGUUUGCUUUCGCUUAAUUGGGUAGAUGUUUAGAACGUGUAAGAGUUAUGCGUGUCGAGUAUUAACGCGUGUGUUACAUUUCAGGAACAGAUGUCCCCGAGACGUUAUAUGCGUCGAUCCACUCCGGCAUUGCCUGAUGAGGUGCCCGAGCAAUCGGGAUCAGAUGAAGUCCGAGAGUUGCGAGCCCAAGUAGUAGCUUUGACUGGGGCUAUGCGACAACAAGAGGAGCAUAUAGGACGGCUCCAUGAGUUGGUAGCUCGACAGGCGGCGGUGGCUGCAUCUGUACCUCAGGACUCGCCCGCACCUGUAGCACCUACUCCGGCGGUGGCGGCACCGGUGACGGCUAUUCCUCCGACGGCUUCGGGAUCUUCGGCUCCUAUCCCGGAGGUACUUGAGGCCGAGCAAGAGCGGUCGUUGGCGGUGUUGAUGGCCAUUAAGCGGUUCAAUCCUCCGACAUUCCAGGGUGAUGUGAAGGAUCCUUGGUUAAUGGAGGCGUGGCUUGCGGUGAUGGGGGUAUUGUUCGAGGAUGUUUACACCCUCAAGAAAGAUAAGGUUAGUUUAGCGGCUCACUGUUUAGAAGGGUCGGCUAGAUCAUGGUGGACGCGAGUAAAGAAUGGUCGAUCUUUGGAUCCGACUGCUAUGUCUUAGGAGGCAUUUCGAGAGUUGUUGCUUAUGGAGUACUUUCCAGAAAGUGACAAGUGGAAGAUCAAGGAGGACUUUCGCAAACUAAGGCAAGGGAACUGAUCGGUGCAGGAAUACGAGAGAGAGUUCUCGCACAUGGUCAACUGUGUUCCGGGCUUGGUUUAUGGUGACCGGACCGAGCGAAAGUCUUUGAGCGCGGAUUGCGGCCGGAGAUAUUCAAAA
rnacentral:lncRNA from 1 species